UUACGGAUAACAUAGAUAGAACACUCGCCUUCCCCCACCCGAAAUUAAGUUUUAGUUCUUGUCCCGGUUGCUUGGAACCGCUGCAAGUCAUUUGUUUACGUUUGGUUUGCUCUUGCAAUAUUAUUUUAACCUAGAAGCUGAAAAUGGACGUUUGUCAUUGAAGUUGUUCAACUAAGUACAAUUCUCGUACGCCGUAGAAAUUCAUUUGAAGAAAAAAAUAUACUUCCAAAUUUCGAGAAUGCCUAGACUAAAGAAAUGUUGUGUACAAGGAUGUACCGAUGAGACAAGUACAAGAAAUCAUUUCCCUAAGAGUAAUUUGGAUUAAUUCAAUAACUGGCUCCAAAUGAUCCAACCAAGAAAUUGGCAACAAUUCAGUAGGCAUCGAAUUUAUGAAGGUUAUUUUGUGUGCCAUUCACAUUUUGAUAAAAAAUAUCAUCUUCCAGGAAGCCAUCGUGGUCUUACUUGCAAUGCCAUACCUACAAUCAGUAUUCCAGGUAAUUUUAUCGAAUUACUCAAUUUUAUUCAUAUUUAAACCCCUUAAAUUUUUGUUCCAUGUGUACUGUCCAAUGGAGCUGUAGUAUAUUCUGGUUUAAACGAUACUAAGAAUUAGGCGUUACAUAGUAUAUAUUUCAGUAAUAGUUAUAGGAUGUAGUACUGUAUGCACUGAUUGAUUCUCUCAAUGUAUCAAAGAUUCGAAAUACACAGGGUAAGUUUUUGAAGGAACCAAUAACCACAAAAUCAGAACAUGAAAUCUUUUGGAAAAAAUCAAUAAAAUUUUUUGAAAACAUGUAUUUUUAUGAUGAAAAAAAAAAUGUGGUGGUACCUACCAUAAAAAAUUUUAUUUUGAUUUUGAAAGCUUUCGUUUACUUUAAGAGGAGGUUGUUAACUGAAAAAAGUUUC